rnacentral:rRNA from 1 species
ACGGGGGCAGCAGGCGCGAAAACUUUACAAUGCCGGCAACGGCGAUAAGGGGACCUCGAGUGCCAGGAUACAAUCCUGGCUGUCGUAAUGCCUAAAAAGCAUUAUAUAGCAAGGGCCGGGCAAGACCGGUGCCAGCCGCCGCGGUAACACCGGCGGCUCGAGUGGUAACCGCUAUUAUUGGGUCCAAAGGGUCUGUAGCCGGCCUGGUAGGUCUUUUGGGAAAUCCGGCAGCUCAACUGUCGGGCUAUCAGAGGAUACUGCUAGGCUCGAGACCGGGAGAGGUGAGAGGUACUUCAUGGGUAGGGGUGAAAUCUUGUAAUCCUUGAAGGACCACCAGUGGCGAAGGCGUCUCACCAGAACGGAUCUGACGGCAAGGGACGAAAGCUAGGGGCACGAACCGGAUUAGAUACCCGGGUAGUCCUAGCCGUAAACGAUACUCGCUAGGUGUCGGCCACGGUGCGACCGUGGUCGGUGCCGUAGGGAAGCCGUGAAGCGAGCCACCUGGGAAGUACGGCCGCAAGGCUGAAACUUAAAGGAAUUGGCGGGGGAGCAC